CCUACGGGUGGCUGCAGUAGGGAAUCUUCCACAAUGGGCGAAAGCCUGAUGCAGCAACGCCGCGUGGGUGAAGAAGGUCUUCGGAUCGUAAAACCCUGUUGUUAGAGAAGAAAGUGCGUGAGAGUAACUGUUCACGUUUCGACGGUAUCUAACCAGAAAGCCACGGAUAACUACGUGCGCGCAGCCGCGGUAAUACGUCGGUGGCAAGCGUUAUCCGGAUUUGAUGGGCGUAAAGGGAGCGCAGGGGGUCUGUUAAGUCUGGUGUGAAAGCCUUCGGCUUAACCGGAGUAGUGCAUUGGAAACUGGGAGGCUGGAGUGCAGAAGAGGAGAGUGGAACUCCAUGUGUAGCGGUGAAAUGCGUAGAUAUAUGGAAGAACACCAGUGGCGAAGGCGGCUUUCUGGUCGGUAACUGACGCUGAGGUUCGAAAGCGUGGGUAGCAAACAGGAUUAGAUACCCGAGUAGUC
rnacentral:rRNA from 1 species